UGAACGCUGGCGGCAUGCCUUACACAUGCAAGUCGACCGGUAACGCGGGGCAACCUGGCGACGAGUGGCGAACGGGUGAGUAAUGCAUCGGAACGUGCCCAGAAGUGGGGGAUAGCCCGGCGAAAGCCGGAUUAAUACCGCAUGAGACCUGAGGGUGAAAGCGGGGGAUCGCAAGACCUCGCGCUUUUGGAGCGGCCGAUGUCAGAUUAGCUAGUUGGUGGGGUAAAGGCCUACCAAGGCGACGAUCUGUAGCUGGUCUGAGAGGACGACCAGCCACACUGGGACUGAGACACGGCCCAGACUCCUACGGGAGGCAGCAGUGGGGAAUUUUGGACAAUGGGCGCAAGCCUGAUCCAGCCAUGCCGCGUGCGGGAAGAAGGCCUUCGGGUUGUAAACCGCUUUUGUCAGGGAAGAAACGCUCUGGGCUAAUACCCUGGGGUAAUGACGGUACCUGAAGAAUAAGCACCGGCUAACUACGUG
rnacentral:rRNA from 1 species